GGAAGGUGCAAGCGUUAAUCGGAAUCACUGGGCGUAAAGCGCGCGUAGGCGGUUAGAUAAGUCGGGUGUGAAAGCCCCGGGCUCAACCUGGGAACUGCAUUCGAUACUGUCUGACUAGAGUGUGAUAGAGGGAGGCGGAAUUCCGCAUGUAGCGGUGAAAUGCGUAGAGAUGCGGAGGAACACCAAUGGCGAAGGCAGCCUCCUGGAUCAACACUGACGCUGAGGUGCGAAAGCGUGGGGGGAGCAAACAGGAUUAGAUACCCUGGUAGUCCACGCUGUAAACGAUGUCAACUAGCCGUUGGGAGCAAUUUGGCUCUUGGUGGCGCAGCUAACGCGAUAAGUUGACCGCCUGGGGAGUACGGUCGCAAGAUUA
rnacentral:rRNA from 1 species